GACGAACCGUGCGAACGUUAUUCGGAAUCACUGGGCUUAAAGCGCGUGUAGGCGGGGCGGCACGUCGGUCGCUGAAAGCCCCCGGCUCAACCGGGGAACGGGCGCCGAUACGCCCGCCCUCGAGGGACGUAGGGGGACCUGGAACUUCCGGUGGAGCGGUGAAAUGCGUUGAGAUCGGAAGGAACGCCCGUGGCGAAAGCGAGGUCCUGGACGUCUGCUGACGCUGAGACGCGAAAGCCAGGGGAGCGAACGGG
rnacentral:rRNA from 1 species